rnacentral:rRNA from 1 species
CGCUGAACUUAAGCAUAUCAAAAAGGGCGGGAGAAAAGGGA